CCUACGGGAGGCAGCAGUCGAGAAUUAUUCACAAUGGGGGAAACCCUGAUGGUGCGACGCCGCGUGGGGGAAUGAAGGUCUUCGGAUUGUAAACCCCUGUCAUGUGGGAGCAAAUUAAAAAGAUAGUACCACAAGAGGAAGAGACGGCUAACUCUGUGCCAGCAGCCGCGGUAAUACAGAGGUCUUAAGCGUUGUUCGGAAUCACUGGGCGUAAAGCGUGCGUAGGCUGUUUCGUAAGUCGUGUGUGAAAGGCGGGGGCUCAACCCGCGGACGGCAGAUGAAACUGGGAGACUAGAGUAAUGGAGGGGGAACCGGAAUUCUCGGUGUAGCAGUGAAAUGCGUAGAUAUCGAGAAGAACACUCGUGGCGAAGGCGGGUUCCUGGACAUUAACUGACGCUGAGGCACGAAGGCCAGGGGAGCGAAAGGGAUUAGAUACCCGAGUAGUC
rnacentral:rRNA from 1 species